AAAAAAAUGAAGAAAAUGCUUAUUUUAGAAAUUCAGCAGACGACAUUUUAGCAGAAGACAAAUUACCCAGCAUGCAAAGGGUUAACAAUUCAUGAUAGAAAGUCAGUUGUUUUGGGAUGAUUUUAAAGCUUGUUUACAAAAAUCCAUAAUUCAUUAGUGAUUGCUUACUGUAAUAAGCAAUUGAACACACAAUGAACAACUUUAGGAUGUUGAAAGGCUUGAGACAUAGAGCAAAUACUUGUAACUGGUCCUAAGAUUUUUACUUUGUUCAAAUGCAGUUUAAUGGCUUGUUAAAGUUAAACAAUGGCUCACAUGCAUGGAUUUUACUAAUAAGGACUUGGUACAGAACCAACCCUGAGACAACUUGCCCUUUUGUGAUAAUUCAACAAACAGUGUAUGCGUUUUGUCUUCAUAUGCAAAUUUAUAAAUUAUGCAUUUGUGAGUGCUUUUGAAUAAUUUUAUUGCAAGGCAGUGAUUUCUAAAUACACUGUGAACAUAUGUACCUGUAGGUGUACACUUGAUUUAAACUUAAGACUAACAGAUUAUGUCAUGUUUCAAGUUUGUCAUUAGAUGCUUAAAUUUGAUAAAUGUAAACAUUUAACUAAAAAGCUCCAGUAUUAAACAAGAGAAAAAUUAAUGCAAGAAAAUAGGUAAUCCACAACUGGACUCCACCACUGAUCCUUGGAGUUAAAGUCCAGCGCUUAAACCAUUCAGCCAUGUUUACUGAGAUAAUUUGUUACGUAUUUUAUACUAUGUAUGAACAAUCCUCUUAAUGUCACAAUAUAUGACCAUAUGUAUAUGUGUGUAACGACAGAAGUCUCCAAAUUAUUAAAUCAUUUUAGGUUUGUAAUGCUUUAUAAUUGUCAGGGUUUUUUUAUCGUCAAAAGAUGCAUAUAAUGGAUAUUUAUGAGCAUGGUAAAUGAUCAGUAUUACUGUUUCCUAAAAAAUUAGCAUAACUACAAUGAAAAUUUGCAAAUCUUGAAAUAAUUAUUUUCAUUUUUUUUUCAAUUUACCAAAACAUGUAAAGAUUCUUUUAAUAUUACAGCUGCUCUCAGCAAAUAAAGAUUUUGGUUAGGCAGUAAGAAAUUCUUUAAUCUUAUCGUCUGUAUGUUUUUUUUUAGGUGUUGAUGUGUCAACAAUGAUGUUAAUCUAAAACUGAUUAGCAUUUCAUGGAAAUGAAAUUGUUUGCAUAUCACUUUUUGCAUUGAUUCUGUUACAAUAUUUUUGAAUAGAGUACAAGUACAAAAAAACAAUGCAUUGUCUCUCUAAAGUGGAGCUAUCCUACUCACCCCAGCGUCGGCGUUAGCGUUCCCGUUAGCGUUAGCGUCCAAGUAUUUCCUAUGUCCCUUGACAUAUUGCUUUCAUAUUUUGCAUACUUCUUUACCAACAUGACCCCAACCUAUAAACAAGAGCAGACAACUGUAUCAAGCAUUUUAUAAGAAUUAUGGCCCUUUUUCCACUUAUAAUAUACAUAUUAUUGAUAACUCUAUGUUAAAGUUUACGUACCACCCCAAAUAUUUCCUAUAUCCCUUGGCAUAUUGCUUUCAUACCUUGCAAAACUUCUUUACCAACAUAACCCCAAUCUAUAAACAAGAGCAGACGACUUUAUCAAGCAUUUUGUAAGAAAUAUGGCCCUUUUUAUGUCCCCCACUAUAGUAGUGGGGGACAUAUUGUUUUUGCCCUGUCUGUUGGUCUGUUGGUUGGUUGGUUGGUCUGUUGGUUGGUUUGCGCCAACUUUAACAUUUGCAAUAACUUUUGCAAUAUUGAAAAUAGCAACUUGAUAUUUGGCAUGCAUAUGUAUCUCAUGGAGCUGCACAUUUUGAGUGAUGAAAAGUCAAGGUUAAGGUCAUCCUUCAAGGUCAUAGGUCAAAUAUAUGGGUCAAAAUCGCUCAUUUAAUGUACACUUUUGCAGUAUUUCAAUAUUCAAAUAGCAACUUGAUAUUUGGCAUGCAUGUGUAUCUCAUGGAGCUGCACAUUUUGAGUGGUGAAAGGUCAAGGUCAAGGUCAUCCUUCAAUGUCAGAGGUCAAAUAUAUGUGGCCCAAAUCGCUUAUUUUAUGAAUACUUUUGCAAUAUUGAAGAUAGCAACUUGAUAUUUGGCAUGCAUGUGUAUCUCAUGGAGCUGCACAUUUUAAGUGGUGAAAGAUCAAGGUCAUCCUUCAAGGUCAAAUAUAUGGGUCAAAAUUGCUCAUGUAAUGUCACUUCUGCAAUAUUGAAGCUAGCAAUUUUAUAUUUGAAAUGCAUGUGUAUCUCAUGGAGCUGCACAUUUUGAGUGGUGAAAGGUCAAGGUCAUCCUUCAAGGUCAAACGUCAUAUAGGGGGACAUUGUGUUUCACAAACACAUCUUGUUUCACUCAGAAUAUGCAUAUUAUUGAUAAAUCUAUGUUAAAGUUUCCGUACCACCUCAAAUAUUUCCUAGGUCCUUUGACAUAUUGCUUUCAUAUUUUGCAUACUUCUUUACCAACAUGACCCCAAUGUGUAAACAAGAGCAGACAACUGUAUCAAGCAUUUUGACAGAAUUAUGGCCCCUUUUUUAUACUUAGAUAAUUGAACAUUUGGUUAAGUUUUGUGUUUUGGUCCAUUUUACUCCUAAAGUAUCGUAGCUAUUGCUUUUUAGACUUGGAAAACUCGCUAACUGUCGUAAGGAGACUGUACAGGGCAAGUUGCAUAACCCUGGUUGGUUUUUUAACGAAAUUAUGGCCCUUUUUUGUCUUUCUAACUUUGAAUAUCUUGUUAAAUUUUGUGUUUAGAUCCACUUUUCUUUUAAAGAAUCAAUGCUAUUGCUUUCAAACUUCUAAUACUUUCUUUGUAUCAUGAUGUUACUGUACCUUGCAAGUUGAAUUUGACCUUGACCUUUGAAUGACCUUGACUCUCAAGGUCAAAUUAAUAAAUUUUGCUUAAAUUGCCAUAACUUCUUUAUUUAUGAUCAUAUUUGAAUCAUACUUUGACAAAACAACACUUACCUGACAUACCACUAUGGACUCCACCCAUACCAUCCCCCAAGCCCCACCCCAGAACCCCCCCCCCCAAAAAAAAAAAAUUUUUUUUUUUUAAAUAUCAUUAUUAAAUGACCACACACCCACAUUAUACCCCCUCUCCAUGAUGGCUUACGUUAUACUGUCAAGCACUCGAAUAGUCGAGCGCGCUGUCCUCUGACAGCUCUUGUUUUAAUUCCCCAUACAUGUAUUUUCUUUUUAAAUUCCCUGAGAAAUUCAAGGUGAUGGGUCACAUGAGGUAAAAUAAACUAGGUCAUUAUUUCGAAAAUUGUUCCUGGUCGGUUGAUUAACAUGGCCAAUAUAAAGUGAAACCUUGGUAACACUCAAAGUUGCAUCUUUCUUACAAUAUGCAUCAAACUUAUAUGGAUCAUUUGUUCUAAUGAAAUUGUCACAGUUCAAAAUAGUUUUGGUCUUGAAACACCUGGCUUUCAGAGGACGGCACAGUUUAAGGUAUAUGGCUAUAGUCAUCGUCGGAUACCCACGACUAAUUAAUUCCGUUACUCUCCAGCAUUAGAGUAACGGAAUGAAUUAGUCGUGCUGUAACCGACGAUGGGCUAUAGUAAAAUGUUGUGAACACUCUAUAAGUCUAUCUUAGCUAAGUCAUAGUUUUUUCAGGACAUUUUUUUCUCAUGCAAGGGGGGGAAGUUCUAAAAUGGUUGCAUUUCUUUGAAAAAGAGCUGUUGCAGAUGGGCUUACAGUUGCCCUUAUCUCUCACCAUUUCAUCCUGUUGUUUGUUUAUUAAUGUUUUAACUUAUGGUGUGUAAGCAAUCAAGUGUGAAUAUACAUUAUAUCAGAAACAAAUUCCUUUGAGACAUUAUUUAUUUGUGUUAUGUAUGUUUGUUUAUCUCGGAAUGUUAUUUUAUGCAACAUUGUGCUUGAUGAACUUACUUAUUCAUUAAUGAAUUAAAAUGUGUCUUAAGCUUAGGAUUUUUAAGUUAUUUAUUGCAGAUAUUUAUAUGCUUUGGUGUGUUUUUCUGUUACAAGAAAUAAUAUUCUAUUGAAAAUAAAAGGAAAGUGUCUC